rnacentral:rRNA from 1 species
UACGUAGGGGGCAAGCGUUGUCCGGAUUCAUUGGGCGUAAAGAGCGUGUAGGCGGCCAGGUAGGUCGGUUGUGAAAACUGGAGGCUCAACCUUCAGAGGUCGACCGAAACCAUCUGGCUAGAGUCCGGGAGAGGAGAGUGGAAUUCCCGGUGUAGCGGUGGAAUGCGUAGAGAUCGGGAAGAACAUCAGUGGCGAAGGCGGCCUGCUGGGCUGUUGCUGACGCUGAGGCGCGACAGCGUGGGGAGCAAACAGG